GAUGAACGCUAGCGGCAGGCCUAAUACAUGCAAGUCGAACGGUGUCUUCGGACAUAGUGGCGCACGGGUGCGUAACACGUAUGCAACCUACCUUACAUUGGGGGAUAGCCUUUCGGAAGGGAGAUUAAUACCGCAUAAGACAGUAGCUGGGCAUCCAGCAGCUGUUAAAGAUUUAUCGAUGUAAGCUGGGCAUGCGUCCAAUUAGCUAGUUGGUGAGGUAACGGCUCACCAAGGCAAUGAUUGGUAGGGGAACUGAGAGGUCAAUCCCCCACACUGGCACUGAGAUACGGGCCAGACUCCUACGGGAGGCAGCAGUUGGGAAUAUUGGGCAAUGGACGCAAGUCUGACCCAGCCAUGCCGCGUGCAGGAUGAAGGCGUUAUGCGUUGUAAACUGCUUUUAUACAGGAAGAAACGACUCUUGCGAGAGGCAUUGACGGUACUGUAUGAAUAAGCACCGGCUAACUCCGUGCCAGCAGCCGCCGUAAAAC
rnacentral:rRNA from 1 species